UACGAAGGGGGCUAGCGUUGUUCGGAAUUACUGGGCGUAAAGCGCACGUAGGCGGAUAUUUAAGUCAGGGGUGAAAUCCUGGAGCUCAACUCCAGAACUGCCUUUGAUACUGAAGAUCUUGAGUUCGGGAGAGGUGAGUGGAACUGCGAGUGUAGAGGUGAAAUUCGUAGAUAUUCGCAAGAACACCAGUGGCGAAGGCGGCUCACUGGCCCGAGUACUGACGCUGAGGCACGAAAGCGUGGGGAGCAAACAGGG
rnacentral:rRNA from 1 species